rnacentral:rRNA from 1 species
UGUGCCAGCAGCCGCGGUAAUACGUAGGGUGCAAGCGUUAAUCGGAAUUACUGGGCGUAAAGCGUGCGCAGGCGGUUCGCUAAGACAGAUGUGAAAUCCCCGGGCUUAACCCGGGAACUGCAUUUGUGACUGGCGGGCUAGAGUAUGGCAGAGGGGGGUGGAAUUCCACGUGUAGCAGUGAAAUGCGUAGAGGUGUGGAGGAACACCGAUGGCGAAGGCAGCCCCCUGGGCCGAUACUGACGCUCAUGCACGAAAGCGUGGGGAGCAAACAGGAUUAGAUACCCUGGUAGUCCACGCCCUAAACGAUGUCAACUAGUUGUUGGGUCUUCAUUGACUUAGUAACGUAGCUAACGCGUGAAGUUGACCGCCUGGGGAGUACGGUCGCAAGAUUAAAACUCAAAAAAAUUGACGGG